UACGAAGGGGGCUAGCGUUGCUCGGAAUCACUGGGCGUAAAGCGCACGUAGGCGGCUUCUUAAGUCAGGGGUGAAAUCCUGGAGCUCAACUCCAGAACUGCCUUUGAUACUGAGAAGCUUGAGUCCGGGAGAGGUGAGUGGAACUGCGAGUGUAGAGGUGAAAUUCGUAGAUAUUCGCAAGAACACCAGUGGCGAAGGCGGGUCUCUGGGCCGAUACUGACGCUGAGGAGCGAAAGCGUGGGGAGCAAACAGG
rnacentral:rRNA from 1 species